rnacentral:rRNA from 1 species
GCAGUAGGGAAUUUUCGUCAAUGGGGGGAACCCUGAACGAGCAAUGCCGCGUGAGUGAAGAAGGUCUUCGGAUCGUAAAGCUCUGUUGUAAGAGAAAAACGACAUUCAUAGGGAAUGAUGAGUGAGUGAUGGUAUCUUACCAGAAAGUCACGGCUAACUACGUGCCAGCAGCCGCGGUAAUACG